rnacentral:lncRNA from 1 species
UAUUCUCCCUAUUAGUUUGUUGUUUCCUUCCCCUGUUAAGGGGAACUACGUCGCCCUGAUUCUCAUACCAGAUGAGAUACGUAGGCAGGAGAUCGCGUGAGAUCUCUCCGGGCACCCUUUUGUUUUUUUUUAGUGUGUUCAACCUUUUUGUUUCUUUUGACGUCUCAGCGUCUCUUUGUGUUUGUGUGACAACUAUUAGGCUCGAGUUCUAGACUCCCUAUUAGUUUGUCAAUCUGAUAACCUUUUUCUU